rnacentral:rRNA from 1 species
CCCCUAGAUGUUCUGGGCCGCACGCGCGCUACACUGAACAGUUCAACAAGUCUUAACCUUGGCCGAUAGGUCUGGGUAAUCUUUGAACGCUGUUCGUGAUUGGGAUAGACCUUUGCAAUUAUGGGUCUUCAACGAGGAACUCCUAGUAAACGCAAGUCAUCAGCUUGCAUUGAUUACGUCCCUGCCCUUUGUACACACCGCCCGUCGCACCUACCGAUUGAAUGGUCCGGUGAAAUCUCGGGACGGCGGCUUGGUCGCUUGCGUCCGACUGCUGAAACUUGAUUAAACCAUAUCAUUUAGAGGAAGGUGAAGUCGUAACA